UCUUGUGGCCAUACCAGCCUGUCAUUGCCCGAUCCCGUUAGAUCUCGGAAGCUAAGCAGGUCUGGGCCUGGUUAGUAGUUGGAUGGGAGAAUCCAGGUGCCACAGUGG
rnacentral:rRNA from 1 species